CGAAACUUUAGUGAAUUGUUUAUAUCUAUUAAUGUAAGCUCCCUUUCAAUUUUUAUAAAUUUCAGAUUUUACAUUUCCGUGUUAUGAAUUUUUAUGCUGAAAAAAGGGGGAUUUUUCCAAUUUUGGGACAAUAACUAACACUUUCACAAAAUUUUAUAUAUGGAUGAAAAAUUAAGAAAACAAACUCAGUUAAAUUUGAGGUAGCCUUAAUAGUGCCAAUUUUUUUGUGCAUUUUUAUUUAUUAUUUUUGGGGGGGGUAUUUGACAGGGCUCACACUAUUUCUAGUUGAUCAUAUAAAUUCAUUUAAAGCAUAAAAGACAAGUUAAAAGAGCA
rnacentral:lncRNA from 1 species